rnacentral:rRNA from 1 species
AUACGAACUGUGCAAACGUUAUUCGGAAUCACUGGGCUUAAAGGGUGCGUAGGCGGUUCGACAAGUCAGGUGUGAAAUCUCUCGGCUUAACCGAGAAACUGCGCUUGAAACUGUCGAACUUGAGAGCGAUAGGGGUGAGCGGAACUGCUGGUGGAGCGGUGAAAUGUGUUGAGAUCAGCAGGAACGCCGGUGGCGAAAGCGGCUCACUGGGUCUUUUCUGACGCUGAGGCACGAAAGCUAGGGUAGCGAACGGGAUUAGAAACCCCAGUAGUCC